rnacentral:rRNA from 1 species
AGUGUAGGCGGCUACUUAAGUCGGAUGUGAAAUCCCCGGGCUCAACCUGGGAAUUGCAUUCGAUACUGGGUAGCUAGAAUUUGGUAGAGGUAAGUGGGAUUCCGGGUGUAGCGGUGAAAUGCGUAGAUAUCCGGAGGAACAUCAGUGGCGAAGGCGGCUUACUGGACCGAAAUUGACGCUGAGGCUCGAAAGCGUGGGGAGCAAACA